rnacentral:lncRNA from 1 species
GCACAUGCCUGUAAUUCCAGUACUCAAGAGGCUGAGGCACGGGAAUCUCUUGCACCUAGGAGGCAGAGGUUGCAGUGAGCCGACUGUGCCACUGCACUCCAGCCUGGGUGACGGAGUGAGACUCUGUCUCAAAAAAAAAAAAGGAAAAAAAAUUUAGCUGGGUGUGGUAGUGCACACCUGUAGUCCCAGCUACUUGCGAGGCUGAGGUGGGAGGAUCACUUGAGACUGGGAGGUUGAGGCUGCAGUGAGCCAUGAUCGUACCAUUGCAUUCAUGAUCUGCCUGGGCGGCAGAGAAAGACCCCAUCUAUAAAUAAUAAUAAUAACAAAUGUUUUAUAUUGAUUACAUGUUGAAAUGAUAACUCUUUAGAUAUGAGUUAAAAUACAUUAUUAAAAUUAUCAUCUCCUUUUUUAACUUUGUUAAUGUGUCUACUAGAGAAUUAAAAUUUACAAAUGUGGCUCACAUUACAUUUCUUUUGGGCUAUGCUGAUAAAGAUCAGUUUGCUACUACCUAUGAUCAAUGUGCUGCAACCAUAAAUCCAUGUGGGACAAACAGUCUGAUUACUGUUCUAUCUUUCUGUCUUAUUGGAGUAACUGGGCCCACCUUGUCUCUGAUAGUCAAUCACUGUUUCUGAUUGUCACUGUGAGUUCCUAUUACUACAGUUAGUAUUACAGACUGUAAUGUAAUGGCAACAUCUCAUCUCACUGUCAUCCCUAGUCUUUAGAAGCUACCACAGAACUUUUCAAAGAUGCUGGUGUUCUUACUGAUGAAUUUUUAAAUAUUUUGUAAGGGAAGUGUCCUCUGUGCCUUAGGGGAUGGAUUCAGCAGAUUAUAUAAUAUAUAAUAGAUACAUUUCAAUUUCCCACCUCAACAAACUUCCAAUUCUUUGAUUCUUUCUACAAUAUGCUAGGGAAGUUCUGGCAUACUCAGCCUCAUUAGAUGUAGGGCAUUGUUAUAUCAAAGAGUGAAUUACUUAACCAGGCAAACUAUUAGAGCCAUUCCCAGCUGCUUAAGCUACAUCUUGAAUCCCAGGUGAAUUCACCUAUAUUGCCAAAUUUGAUCCAAUCCAGCUAGAUUUCAUCCUGCUUGGUCUACUACUCUUGGAAUCUAUUCCCAAACAUGUUCACCAGGUUUCUGCUAAUAUAACAAAAAGACAUUGUAAUUCUUUUGGAGUAUAACUAUGUCCUUCUGGAGAAGAUCUUUCAUUUUUUUCCUCUAGGCCAUAAGAUUUCUCCUGGCCCUGGAGGCAAUGAGAUAAGGUGGGGCUAGGUCUUUAGGACAAUAGACUGCCUCUUGCAAGGCAACUACCCUAUGUGAAAUAGAAAAGUCUAUGCAAGGGACUACUUUCUCCAGUAAGGGUAAUUCAGGGGCACUUAGGGGGCCAAUUAUCUCAGUUUGUUUGUUUGUUUGUUUGUUUGUGACAGAGUCUCACUCUGUCACCCAGGCUGGAGUGCAGUGGUGAGAUCUCAGCUCACUGCAACCUCUGCCUCCCAGGUGCAAGCAAUUCUUGUGUCUCAGCCUCCUGAGUAGCUGGGAUCACAGGUGCGUGCCAUCAUGCUCGGCUAAUUUUUGUAUUUUUAGUAGAGAUGGAGUUUCACCAUGUUGGCCAAGCUGGUCUCGAACACCUGGCCUCAAGCCAUCCACCCGACUCAGCUUCCGAAAGUGCUGGAGUUACAAGCUUGAGCCACUGCUCCCAGCCAGGAAUUUCAGUUUCAUUUGUUUCAUUCCAAAUGUCCUCUUCCCAAUCUCAGGGCCCAAUUCUAGCACAGACUAAUGUUAGAUAAGGUUGUACAUUUAAGAGGCUUUACAAAUCUUCAACCCCCACAAUUAUAUCUUAGGCGUGACCCACAGCUUUGUCUUCCCUGAGGCUUCAUGAGAUAAGGAAUUCCUAUAAGGCCUCCGUAGAAACUUUCCGGUUCUACACCCAUGUCUUGAGUUGCAAGUUCAAGGUUCAAAGCUUCUCUCUCUUUCUCUCUCUCUCUCUCUUUCAAACUCUCCAGCACAGUCAGAACUAGCCAGCCCAUCCUGUAAUUACUGUAAUCACCUCUGACUGUUGCCAUAACAGUGGUCACAUAAAACUGCACCUUCCACUAGCUCUCCAUCCUACAUCACCAUCAGUAAUAAUGUGAGUCAUCUUAAUGCUACUUCAUGCCACACCAUGUCCCAUUUCCAUCCACCAUAAGGUCAUUUAUGCCUUCAUUACAUAAGUGAGAAACCUAGUUCCCAAAUCUCAUUUUCAAGGUUGUUCCUAGGACCACUUCAGUUACCAACUAUUGCAUUAGUCAGGGUCUCAGCAGGAAGCAGCAUCUACACCAGAUGGUUUAGAUAAAGAUAUCUUAAUGAAGAGCUAUCACAGAGGCAUGAGCAAGGUUAAGGGGGCAAAUGUGGGAUGUUAAGGAACUAAUGGCUUAGCAACUGUGUGAAGCCAUCACUACUUCAAGGGCUGAGAGCAGAAGCAAAUAAUGUCACCAAAGGAAGAAGUCAGAUGUAGAGUCAUGAAGGAAGAGACACAGGGCAGGAGUUGCAGUCCAUGGAGGGUCACAGCCACCGCCAGAGAUGUAAUAUACAUGCAGGGAAGAACUACUCCAACCUCACUGCCAAAAACAAUCGGAAGCUGGAAGACAAAGGAGCCUAGGCAGUGCGUUCCAGAAAAAGGGCGAGUAUCCUGGGCCACAAGCAGCAUAAAGAAGGGCUGAGAAUGCAUUUCAGGUAGGAGGGAAAAAGCUCUCCAGCUCUCCAGGUAUGGCACUAUACAUGAACCAUGUCCCUUAAUCCUUCUAACCUAAUAUUAAUAAGGCAUAAACUAUUAUUAUCCCCAUUUUACGGAUGAGGACAUACGCUCAGAGAAUAGCUUGCUCAAGAUUAUACAAAUAGUCAAUGGUGGGGCUGCAACUUGACCUGGGCAAUUUGAACUUUAGUUUUUGUAUCAUGCUGAAUGAGAUGAGUUAGGCUAGAGUAGAGGGUUCCACUAGAGGAGAAGUGAAGACAUUUGGGGCCAAAGCAUGGAAGACUUGAAAUCUGCUCUAAGGAAUUCUGUAGCUUUCUCUCCAAGUUGUAGGCAGGUACCACAACUGUUCUGCAGUGCUUAAUCAAGCCCUGCAGGAAUUAGAAAAUUUAUUCACCUUUGCUGCUGCUUCUUAGUAACCUGGUCCAGAGAGUCAGCCUUGAAGAACCUGCCUUGUGCUCCUGAGUGUGGAAGAUGUUGGCUGUUUGUGCUCCCCAUUAUCCAUAUCCUUUUAUGGAGUAAGUAUGCUAUCAUAUUACUCUGGGGGAGCCUCCACCAUUCCUCUUGGGUCAUGAGUUUUGGGUUGAGGUCCUAAGCAAGUCAGCAUAUUGCAUUUUCCUCAGUGACAAUGAUUGGCCCAAAGAUGGAUCCAAGCUCCUCAGGAGGCUGAGGCAGGAGGACUGGUUGAGCCCAGGAAUUCAAGACCAGCCUGGAGAAAAUAGCAAGACCCUGUCUCAGUAAAUAAAUAAAUAAAUAAAUAAAUAAAUAAAUAAAUAAAUAAAUAAAUACGGUGGGCAUAUGACUCAAGUCAGGCCAAAAGGAGCCAAGAAAAGUCAAUUCCUAGAACUUCAUCAGAGUAAUAAUCAUCUGAAAAGAAUUUGGGGUAUGGCUUUUACUGCCAGAUUUCUAUAGAUGAAGCCAAGACUGAAGCCAACACAGAAGAAAGGCGAACUGAGACAUGACCCACGUCACAUCCCUAUAACAGGCUUGAGCCUUCAUCCAGCCAUAGCCACAUCCUGGCAGAUCCCUGGACUUUUUGUUACAUUCUAUAAGCCUGAGGAGUGAGUCCCAAGAUGGAAGAAACCUAUGUGAUGGCAGAGGGUGAGACGCCCCGGAGAAGAGGAAUAUAUCCCCUGGGAUGAGAGACAAGAUAAACGCUUGAAUCAACACACUCCUCCACAGAGAGUCCAUUUGCUUUCCCGACAAACUGCAUUGGAUUGGAUUUCACAGGCUGCUGAGGCAAUGCAAGGAGACAGCUUUCAGACUCCUGGAGAGAGGAGGCUGCAGGAGCGUGAUCAGGACAACAGCCACGUGGCCCAUGCUCUCCAGCAACACCCAAGGAGCCCAGGAUUCAGAGCAGGGCCGGUGGUGGGGAAAGCCCUGAACGAGAAUCCCACACUGGCUGCAUGACCUCAGAUGAGGCACCUUGACCCUGAAUCUCAGUUUCCCUACCUGUAAAAUAGGAUGAUAAUUUUUGCUGGUGUGGCAGAGUGGAAACUAAGUCUGGGAGUGUUUGGUUUGAUUAUUAGAAGAAACAGGCCAGGCACAGUGGCUCACGCCUGUAAUCCCAGCAUUUUGAGAGGCUGAGGUGGGUGGAUCACUUGAGGUCAGGAGUUCAAGACCAGCCUGGCCAACAUGGCGAAAUCCUGUCUCUACUAAAACUACAAAAACUAGCUGGGUGUGGUGGUGCACACCUGUAAUCCCAGAGUAGGCUGAGGCAGGAGAAUCGCUUGAACCUGGGAGGCAGAGAUUGCAGGGAGCCAAGAUGGCUCCACUGCAUUCCAGCCCAGGCGACGGGGUGAGACCCAGUCUCACAAAAAAGAAAAAGAAGGAGAAGAAGAAGAAGAAGAGGAAACUGCCCCAUAGAGUAGGCUUUUUCAGCCUCCUCUCCCUGGGUCCUCAUAUCAGCCCUGAUUGCCAGGAAGAAGAGAGGUGACGAUUUCCUCUCACAUAGUAAGGAAAUUGUGGCUCAGCGAUAAACUCCAGCUAGCUUGGGGAGUGAGAGGAAUGCCAGGAGUCAGUCGUGGGUGAUGGGCAGCGCCGGGCUCUCUAGGAGCUCCUGUGGUCGUCUGGCUUUAUCCCUCCUCAAAGAGCUGGGAGUAGGGGAGUGAGGCACUUGCCUCAGGCAUGCAAAAUGUAAGGGGGUGCCAAAAAACUCAGUGAUCAAGAUAAAUAAUAUCUUAAUGUGAUAUUUUUAAAAAUCAAAAUUGGUGCAAAAAAUCCAUAAUGAACAAAAUAUCUAAUUUUUAAAUAAAGAUAAGAUCAAUCCUUAUCUCAUAACACAAGCUGUCUCUUCUGCCUGAGCACAGAGGCAGGAAUGCCCUGGGAUGGAGGAAAUACUGCGUGGGACUCCAUAUUGGGGUUUUAUUCAUCUUGGCCUCUCAGUUCAGGGGGUGACUCUUUUUUUUCUCUGACCUCCAGCUUUCCCACCAGAGGCAGGAGAGCCAAGCAAUCUGCCCUUAGGCUCUGGAGUAAGGUAAAGCUGGAUGUUAAUCCCUGCUCCAUUACUUAUUAGCUAGGGGACCUUUGGAUAGUAGCUUGGAAUAGUGGCUUAACAUCCUGUAAACCUCAGUUUUCUUUCUUUUCUUUUUUUUUUUUUUUUUUUGAGAUGGAGCCUGGCUCUGUCACCCACGCUGGAGUGCAAUGGCGUGACCUCUGCUCACUGCGACUUCCGCCUCCCGGGUUCAAGUGAUUCUCCUGCCUCAGCCUCCUCAGUAGCUGGGAUUACGGGUGCGUGCCACCACGCCUGGCUAGUUUUUUGUAUUUUUAGCAGAGACAGGGUUUCACCAUGUUGGCCAGGCUUGUCUCAAACUCCUGACCUCAGGUGAUCCACCCACCUUGGCCUCCCAAAGUGCUGGGAUUACAGGCGUGAGCCUCCACGCUCGGCCUUAAACCUCAGUUUUCUAGUCUGUAAACCUCCAUUUUCUAAUCUGUACCUGCCUGGCUGGGUUACUGUGAAGAUUAAAUGAGAAAAUGUGCACAUGGCUUUUAACACAGGACCUCCGCCAUCAUAAGUGCUCAAUAAACAUUACUUACUGUUUUUACCUCUAAAUUAAGUAUCAUUGUCCUCAGUCCCAAAGUGAGACAAAUUAUAUGCUAAAGAGAUAUGAUAGCACCUAGAAGGAAGGAGAAAAAAAAUCAAGCACAGUGUCCCAUUCCACUGCUGGAAGCCACCAGGAAGACAGUACUAUCUACACAACUCUCUGUCUCCUAAAGGAAUUCUGGGCAUAGUCUGGGUGUUUCAGCCAGGCCCCUCCCAAGAGAAGUUCAAGGUUGAACCCAACCUGCUGGACCACAGGGAGUCUCCUAAUCCCAGCCACACAUUCCCCAGAGCAGGUGCCACAAGCCCAGAGACAAGUCACCAUGGGAAGGUGGAUGUCAGGGCAGCUGAGCCCUGAGGGUCUUGGUAAUGAAAAACUCCCCACCAACACUAUCACUGGUCCUGCUUCCCUUUUUGAAUUGGAUGCUAAGGAGCCUAGAGCUAAAUUUACAGCCCAUCUUUAGCAAGCACAUAAUACUUCACUUCAUACAUUUGGUGUGGAAACCUCCAUCUACAAUUCCUGCUGUUAUUUUCUGUUUGUCUCAUUUCCUCUCACUUGUUUUAAUGUACUUUACGCUGCCUUAAAUCCAUUUUGGAACAAGGUGGGGAAUAGAUAAAUACAUCCUAACUGUAUUUAAACAGCUUUCCAUUGUAUAUGUAUAUAUUCUUGUGUAUCUCUUUUCUAAAAAUUACUGCCUGCUGAUGCCUGCAAAUGGCUGUGUUUGCGUGUGCUAAUUGUGUAACUGACUGGAUUUAAAAUUGAGAGCUUUGAUGAGUACCCAGGAAGCAAGGAAACAGGGUGUUUUCAUUUUCAGUAUAAAAGGGAGGGUUGGGCCCAGGUGUCUGCCUUAAGAAUAGUCAGUUUAAGGCAAUGGUUCUCAACUGGGGCCAGUUUUCCCUCCCAGGGGGGCGCUUUUGGCAAUCUCUGGAGGCAUUUUUGGUUAUCACAACUUAGAGGGCAGGCAUCCGGCAUUGCUACUGGCAUCUAGCACGUAGAGGCCAGGGAUACUGCUAAACAUUCUACAAUGCACAGGACAGGCCCCUCAACCAAGAGGCACCCGGGCUAAAUCAUCAAUAGUGAUGAGGCUGAGAAACCCUGACUUCAAGGUAGAGGAGUUCUAGAAGGAAGAAGGAGCAGAGGCUUGCAGGUACCAAGGCUGCUCUGGGAACCCUCAGGGCAGCCUUCCUGAACCGGGCCAGGAAGAGGAAACAGUGGAGAGGGCCCCAGCUCCUCAGUUACCAGGAGAACCCGGAAUCUCUUACUGGGCCAUGAGAGAAACAAGAACAACUCAUGAAUGAAACAGAUUCCUCAGGUGUCCAGGAGGAGUGAGGCUUUUGUUGUCUAGGAAGGGGGAGCCUUUCAUCUGACACAAGAUAGCUUUUUUUUUUUUUUUUUUUUUUUUUUUUUAAGACAGGGUCUCACUCUGUCAUCCAGGCUGGAGUGCAAUGGUGCAAUGUAGGCUUACUGCAGCCUCAACCUCUGAGGACCAUCUGCUACACUCAGUCCACCAAUUCAAAUGCUAAUCUCUCUGGGGCCCAAGGGAUCCUCCUACCUCAGCCUCCUGAGUAGCUGAGAGCACAAGUGUGCACCGCCAUGCAUGGCUUAUUUAUUUAUUUAUUUUUGUAGAGAUGAGGGUUUUCCUGUGUUGCCCAGGCUAGUCUUGAACUCCUGGGCUGAAGCGAUUCUCCUGCCUUGGCUCCCCAAACUGCUGGGUUGAAGGUGUGAGCUGCUGCACU